CCACAGGAAGUGUAUUUUGGUGUCGAUGAAUGUGCGGUUUUGCAAACAUAUUAGGAAAAAUGCAUGUCUAUUUAUAAUAAAGAGAAAACUGUUUCAGACGCAAUAUAACACAACAUGAUUAUUUGACAUAAAAGUUUCAACUUUUCGCAAAAAAUCGCUCUUAUUUAAAAGUUAUCCGCUUAGUACCCAAAAUCGUGUUGGACUUGAAGUCUCCAUAUUAUUUGAGACUGUGUAGAACGUAACAGCUGACCCGAAUAAACAUCCCCAAACUCGCUAUAUCGACCUGUCAUUAAAAUGUGAUGAUACGACUGUUUGAGAUAUAUAUUGUUUCACAUAAGUGCGAAUGAAAUGUGAUACUUUCAUGAUACACAGAAAUGGAAAAUUUUAAACUUUUCAAAAUGGAGGUGGACCCUCCAUCAAUGAACAAUAUGUCAACACCUAUCCAUGGGCAAAAUAAUUUUCUCCUGUAUAAUAGUCGGGAUCUUGAAAGCGCCAUGAACUGUAACAGCUUCCCGGCUCCAGGAGCAUUGAAAAGAUCCAGCAGUGCUCCGAUGAUACAUGUUCUUGUAUCUUCAGCUUCACUGGAAAUAAGUCCUCCAAACACAUUCACUUCUGCUGAUUCCCAGAGAACACGAAGAUUCAGCUCCAGCUCUAUGACCCUGCACAAUUCUGCCUUGACACCAGUCAAAGUUGCAGAUCGCUUGAACCAAUUAAAGCAGGAGGAGAGUGACAUUGCAGUGAGAGAUAUGCAGAAAGAAAGAGAAAUUCGGUCUGCUAUACAAAUAUCUGCCACAUGGAAUGAAAAAUGCAACAUAGAGGAGCCAAUGAUUGCAGAAAUUACCCCUAGACGACCCAGGUCUUUCUCAGAGUCCCUCCACAUAUUUACCUCCCCUUGUAUGAUAGUUGGUGCACCUUCACCCACAAGAACUGGCAAGCAAUGUUUUUCUCCGUCAAUGCAGCAGCCAAUCAAGAACCACAUAUUUACCCCCAGUCCCAGUCCUAGUCCAACACGGAGAUCCUUCUCAAGAAGUAUUAGCCCUAUAACUUCCGGCACCUUGAUGAGACCUAGUCCGCUUGGAAAAAGAAAAUUGGAGCCGGAUGGAGACAACCGGUUUGAGAGUUACAUGAGCCCACCCAAGCGGUUCCACACCGGACCCAGCACCCCGGAUAGGCUUCUGCCCCACCCUCUGGCACACAGCGUGUCCUCCAGUAGCUGUGACAGUAACAGCAGCCCUGAGCAGUCUGUGUCCAGUGCCUCCAGCAUACACCUGCCCCUGGGGUCGGGCAUGCAGCAUAACAUGUUCUUCAUGCCGCUGCAUGACACACAGGAUAUGCAAACUACAGAUUCAGAGACGUCCGAUGUAACUGAGUCAACCGACAUGUCCGAAGUGGGCGACACGUCACAUGGCAUGCUACUCACCACCUCUCAGAGCCCCAGACAUAUCAUGGGCUUCACAUCAGUGAAGUCUACCCACUUGUGACUGCUGAUGUGCUAGACACUUAUUACGUACAGCGGGUUAGACACAAUGGACAGCCAAUUGAAAGAAAAAAUGUGCUAGGAAAUCAUUAGACGUUAUGUGAGGGCGUUUAAACAAGCUUAAAUUGCUAGCCUCUUGCGAGAACCAAUUUGCUGGACUAAAUCCAUUGUGAUAGCCCCUCAUUGGCCCCGAUGUGCUAGCCCUUUAUGGUAGACAGCCUGCUAGCCCAGUUUGACGGACAGUGUGUGUGCUAGCUCCAUUCUAGAGAAAGCUAACUAGCCCCAUUUUACAGACAGCUUAUUAGCCUCAUUUCACAGCCAAUGUGCUAGACAUUAAUUGCCAUGUGCUAGCUGCUCAUUGCAUGGUACAUAGGAAACCCAGUGGGCUAGCAGUUAAUAUUAUAUAUACUUAACACCCACCCCACCUCUUAUUUAAGUAGGGCAUAUGUCAGUCACAGGUACUUUAGAACUUUAUAUGCAUUGAGUACAGUUCUUAAUUGAACUAAAUGUGUCUUGUUAAUGCGUGUAUAGUUUAAGUGAUUGCUGAUUGAUUGCUGGUGUGUGGUCUAAAUACUAUUAAAGACAUUGAAAAGUCUUGAUUAACAGAUACCUUACAAGCAAAGGUGUGUUGGCCAGUAAUUAUGCCUAAUGUGCAAGCGAUAAGGACUCGAAAUAAUAAAUAGUUUUACAGCCAUUGUCAAUGCUAAUCAAGCUAGCAUCUCAACAACUCAAGUGUAUUGGCCUUAUAUGUAACCCUUACAUAAGGUCAUGUUAGCCCUGUCUUUGUUCAAGUCAUAUCUGGUCUCAUGGUCUGGUAAUCUAUGUACUGGCAACUCAAGACAUUAUAUAGGACACUAGACGUUUUCAGGAGUCAGGCCAGCCAAUUAUCUAGGACCAAAUGGGUCGCGUUCUGAGAAAACGGUGUAUAAUGCAUAUGGGUAAAGCGUUGUCCCAGAUUAGCCUGUGCGGACUGACGGAUUGACAACACUUUCUGCCUAAACUAGAUUUUUGCUAAGAAGAGACUUUCUUUAAAAAGAAAAUAUCAUAAAAGCGGAAAGUGUCGUCCAUGAUUAGCCUGUGCGGACUGCACAGGCUAAUCUGAGAUGACACUUUACGCACAUGCAUUAUGCCCAGUUUUCUCAGAAUGCGAAUCGUAUUCACCCACUAAUAAGGAUUACAGGUCACCGUGAUGUAGUGGAUAUGGUGUCCGCCUAACGACCAGGAGGUCACAGGUUUUAUCCUCACUGUAGGAGCAUUCUUUAGUUCUCCCCCAGAGACACAAAGUACUGGUUCUAGUCAAAGGAAAUGGACUCGAGAAUGUUUCAAAUAAGCCUUAGGCUUUCUAUCCAAUGGGGCUAAAAUAAAUAGGUUUACCCUAAAUAAAGUUUAUACUUAGACACACGCAAUGUCACUUCAGAAUUUGAAUAUAUACAGACUGGAAAUGUUUCUAUAUUAUUAACAAACUGUUUUUAAUCAAUCAUGAUGUCAUUAUAGGUGUGUCAUGCUAGACUUUAAUUUCAAGUAGUAAUAGAACAUUACUGUUUUAAGUAUGUUCUUUAUUUAAAGACUUAACCCUUUACCACUCAGAUACAUAUUUUGACACAUUUGUAGUCCUUAAGAAAAUUAAAUUUAAUUAAAUACAUUUAUUACUUAAUUCAAUUUUUUAAGGCUUCAUUUCCAAACCUUAGAUACUGAUGAGCAGCAAACAGCAUAAAACCUGAACAGACUGCAAAUUACUCGCAGGCUGUUCUGGUUUUAUGCUGUUUGCACAUAGCCAUUUUCAGUUUGCUUCUGAGUGGGAAAGGGUUAAUUGAAUCCAGAAUUUUGUAUUGUACAGCCAUUUUCUGUAAAUGAUGUAAUUGCCUACCUAAAUGGCACAAAAAUGGCAGGAUUUUGGGGGUAUUGAUCUGUUUCAUAUGCAUAUGAAUGCUUAAUGUCUGCCAAUUUUUAAAUGUGGUGUUAAAUUUGCUAUUAUGAAUGUUGCUGAUAUGUUCAUUUGUUAAUUUAUAAUAUCAUUCAUCUAAGUAAUUAUCAAUAUAUUAUGUUUUGUUGCGUACUCUGCAUCUUCAUUAAUUUGAAAUUUGAUGAAUUGCAUCAAUUGAUAAAAUGCAUCCUUCCAUUUUGAAAUAUUAUUUUAAAGUUGCUUUGCAAACCACAUAUAAAUGGAUGACUUGUUAUCCAGGAUAUAAGUUGGAAAUGAAGAUUCUGAAUCAUAAUGUAAAUCCACAGUCUUUUAGGUUAUAUACCCAGUAACGUAAUUGCUUAUUACAACAUACUAAAUUAAAAUAACAAAUCAUGUUAUUUUGAUUUUCUGCAAAUGCAAUUUCUGCCUUGUAUUAUUUUAUCUGAAUGAAGUGACAAAAUAUGCUUAAAUGAAUUCACAUAAGAAAUUGUAUUUACAAUCUACAACAUUAAGGAAUUACUCAGAUUGAAAGUUCAUAGAACGGAUACAAAGUGAAAGACUUUCUGUUGUUGUUUUUUCGGAAUGGAAAGGCUUGUUAUCAUGUUACUCAUGUGAUUUUGGCCAGUAAUUGACAUCACAAGUUUUGCAUAAUCCUCCUUUUGCUGCAGUAUGAUUUAAAUCAAAUUCUUAAUCAUUCUUAUAAUUUUUUGCUUCUCUGCCCAAAUAAAUUUGUUUUCAGUUGGAUAAUUUAAGUUUCUAUGUAUUAUGCUGCUAUUUUUAUUGUUUUUGUAGUCAUGAAUUAGAACUUAUUGAUGAUAUAUUAAUUAUUAAUGGAAUUUAUUAUUUUGUAAAUUAGUCAUAAUUAAUCGUAUGGUGUGCUCAUCAUAGAAAUAUUAUUUUACAUUUUAAUAAAAUGAGUACUAAAGGACGUCCUAUUCUCACUUAUUUUGAAUGGCAAUUAUUAAUUCAAAACCCCUUUUUUCAGUGAAAAGUUGUGGUCUCUAUACUUACACUAAUCAUUAGAAACUAAAAUCUGCAUCCUGUCAUGAAUUUUAAGCACUUUUGCUAUGUUAAUGAAACACAAUAGGGUACUUCUUUUUUUCUGUGCCAAAGCUGCUUUUGUAUCUGUUUCGAUUUUGAUUGAGAAAUGGUUAAGACGAGCACUUGAAAUUAAUAUUGGAAUGUUUUUAUAAGUCAUGUUUGCAGUAAGAUAAAGAGCCUAUGUCUAGUAGUGCUAUUUUAUUCUGAAUGUAAUUGCUCUAAUGUUAAACUGUUUUCUGGAGAAAUUUUUACCGAGUAUGUUCAAGGUAGUAUUUUGAUGCCACUAUUGUACAUCUAGAUUUACAUGUUUCAUAUGAAUUGAAAUUAUUAAGUUCACAAAUUGAGUGGUGUUCUGAGAAAACUGGGCAUAAUUCAUGUGCGUGAAGUGUCAUCCCAGUUCGCACGGGCUUAUCAGGGACGACACUUUCCGCUUAUAUGACAUUUUUUGUUUAAAUGAAGUCUCUUCUUAGCAAAAAUCCAAUUUAGGCGGAAAGUGUCGUCCCUGAUUAGCCUGUGCAGACUGCACAGGCUUAUCUGGGACGACACUUUACGCACUAGCAUUGUGCCCAGUUUUCUCAGAACACGACUGAAUUAAUUCUGUUUAUCUGUUGCCAAAUGGUUGUGAUUACUUCCAAAUACACUUAGCUAUAUCAGUUACCAUUUACUAUGUCAUGCACAAUUUUUUGUGAUUUCAUUUUCCUUUAUCCUAAUAUUUGUAUUACAGUGCUCAUGUUUUCUCGCUAAAAUUAGUUAAUUAUAGCCCAGGUAGGAAGUAGAAGACUGGAAUGGCCAUUUACAGCAAUCUGUCAGUCUGUUUAUGCAACAUUUAGAAUCGUAUGUAUUGUUCCUAAAGGAAGACACAGGUUGCCACAUUUAACACCCAUCUUCCUUCCUCAAAUGUCAAGGUCACGUAUUUUUUUUUUUUUCAUUCAUCAAGCAAUUUGACACAAAAACCCGACCACUUGUGACAACCAUGAGGAGACAGCUUGUCGAAUAUAUAACACAUCUUCUUACCUCAAAUGUAAAGGACGCACUUGGAGGACAAAGGUUUAAAUUUGCCAUUAAACAGCAUGUAUGGACUGUUACUUGUCAUAAAUGCAAUUUUAAAAUAACUCAAACCAAUGACCACCAUAUGGAGAUGGACAAUUUGUGUAUUGCUGAUCUAUCUGCCUCAAAAGUUAAGGUCACACAUUCAGGUCAAAAGUCAAAUGUCCCAUCAAAAGCUUGUUUUCAACCUAAGUAGAGUUAUAGGAUAAGUCACAUGUGGGGACAUCUGUGUCCCAUGACUCAAGACCUAAGGUCAUUUAUGAUUGCCAGUCUCCCAUUCAAUUGAUUAAUGCAUAUAGAAGGACUAAAUGGUUGUGAGAACUUAAUUAGAAUAAUGUCGUAAUUAAAAGAAAUAUCAGCAAAGAAUACUCAUACAAAAUCUCACAUGUGUUCUCUUUAUGAUUUUGCUGCCCUUCUAAAAGAAAACGUUACCAAAGAUUUGUUAAGCAAACUUUUUAACGAUCGGCCUAUUGGAAUCCAGAUACCAUUAAUGUCAUGUACUUUAUUAGAAAUGUUAUAUGUAUCUUACUUGUUAUGUCUUUGUUGCCAUGUUAAAAUUGUUAUUAGUAUCAUUUUCCAUGUUGUGUAAAUUUAGGUAGUUUUGAAUACUAGAAUGGUAAAACCAUCAGUUUGUACAUAUUUGAUAAUACUGUUAUAAGUAUUAUUGCAUCUUUUGCUUGACUAUUCACACAAUGUUCAAACUAGAAUUCUCACCCAUGUGUUGGCAACAGUAUAGUGCUCUGUUUAAGGUAAAUGUGCAACAAUUCUACAUAAUUAUUUUGAAUGCAGGUAUUCACUAGAAAAUGUACACAUGUGUAUGGGUCAUUUUUGCGGGGUUUUUGUGUGUAGGUGGGUUACAUGCAGUUAUAGGGAUUACAUUUGACACCAGUGGUGUCAAGGUCAGUGGGAUCAAUGCACAUGGGGUCAAGCUCAGUGGGGUCAAGAUAGGUGGGAUCAAGGUCAAGUGGGUCAAGGUCACUGGGGUCAAGGCCAGUGGGGGUCAAGAUCAGUGGGUAAAGGUCAGUGUGGUGAAGAUCAGUGGUUCAAAACCAGUGGGGUCCAGGUCAGUGUUACAAAAAUUGAAAAAUAGUGUCUGCUUGAUAACUAGAUUAGAUGAAGGGAUGUUUCGGAGGUUUUAUGUGUUGGUAGCUUUCAUGCAGAUCUAUGUUUGGAUUGCAUUUGGGGCCAAGGUCACUGUCACUAACAAUAUGUUUUCCAAUCGAUAACUUUAGUUUAGAUUGAGGUAUUGUCCAGCACAAUUAUUUAAAUACAUUUAAAUUAAUUGGUACAUGUUAAAAGAACUAAUUUUUUCGGCAUAUCUUGUUUUCAUUUAUAAGUGCUACAGCUAUUCAGAUUUUAAUAUUUCCUAGUGGUCAUGUAAAAAAAUGUUCAUUAGCCUAUCAAGGAAGAAAAGUGAUGUAGCAAGUGCGCUGUGUUUGGACAGCUCCUGUUUUCAUUUAAAUGUCAAGGUAAGUUAUACAUAAGAAUUGAAGUGCGUAUUUGUUUGGUGGUAACUUAAACAAAUCAGUUUCAUUUUAUUUUCACAUGUUUUUAAAAUAAUUAUUGUUGAACUGUCAAUUUAUCCAUGAAUAUAUUCAAUAGAAAGUAAAAUCUUAUUGCGUAACUUUUCUGAAUUCAAUAAGUAUACAUAAACAUGUUGGCAGUUGAAAUGAGGUAUUUUAUUGACACACUUCUCAUAUAAUACUUGAUAGCUGUUCUGUUUAUUGUAUGCCAUACAUUAUUGAGCAAAUAGUGCAUGCUUUUAUUCCCAUCAAGUUUUGAUCUAAACAAAGUUCUUUAUUACUUCAUUUGAAUUUCUUUAAAUGGAUCUGUUUUGAAAAUAUUUACAGAUAAAUCUUGCAUUCAGUAUGACUGGCCCAUGGUAAUACAUGUAUUCAUUAAAAGAGACAAAAUUGACAUUGUGAUGUAAAAAGUUGUAUACAUGAGUAAUUAAAAGGUGGUGUAUAUGGGGCAUAUAAGCGCCAUUUUGUACGUCAGUAUGUGUCCCUGAUCCAACUUCCACAUGCACUGAAGGAUUUUUGAAUAACUUUGCACAAGUCUAAUCUAUAUAGGCCUGCAAGUCAUUUACAAGAGCCUCAAGGUUGCCUUGAAGGUAAAGGACAUACUUAAAGUUCAAAGGUUAUUCUUUGACAGUGCUUUUCAUUCUGAAUUUAAGGAUUUCUCAAUAAAAUGUCUUAAAUUUUCAUAUGUUCUUGAAUAUCUUGUUAGGAGAACAAAUGUUAAAAUACAGCACUGAUUGUGAAAACAAAACAUAUUUGUCAGAUUAAUCACCAUUUGUUAUUGCACUUCUUGGUUGUAAGAUAUUUUGUGAUGAAUCUGUAGAAAAUGGGUAUUUAUUAUUAAAUUUCUACUACAAUGCUAUGUACCCCUGGCACAUAAUGAAAAAUGCCUAAAGUAGUAACACUAUGACUCUGGUAAACCUGCUGACAAAUAUGCUUGAAGUUGUUUAUUUCCCCUACCAAAGGCGAAGUAUAUAGUUUUGGCGUUGACUGUCCGUCAGUCCUUCCGUCCAUCUUUCCAAAACCUUUUAGGGCUAUAUCUCAGAAACUAUAUAAGAUUUCAACAUGAAACUUCAUAAGUCUAUAGAUAAAAAUGAGGAGAUGGCGGGGGAUAUCAAUUCAACAAAUUUGUUUGAACCUAGACGUUUUAAAUAGUAAACCAUUGUUCUUCAUAAUAUUGGUGAGUUUUCAGCAUUUAAAAACUAAUUAUUUGUUUUGUUCAAAUUAAAUUUACACACCUCAUAAAUGGUAAUACAUUUGUAUUUCAUAAAAAAUGAUAACAUUUCAGUAUUGGAAAAAUCCCAAACCAUUUGACUACAUUUACAAAGAUAUAUUUUUUGAAAAAAAAAACACAAAUAAAAAUUACAUACAUUUUACUUUAUACUGUUGAUGUUGUUGAUAAUUGUAUGAUACUCCCUAGCUGGAACUAGGUGUAUGUAUAUGUAGAUGUCAUGUAAAUAUUAGUAGCUUGUUUUCUGUAAAUGUAAACAACAUUGGAUAUUACACUAUUGUACUUUGUU